rnacentral:rRNA from 1 species
GACGAACGCUGGCGGCGUGCUUAACACAUGCAAGUCGAGCGGUAAGGCCCUUUCGGGGGUACACGAGCGGCGAACGGGUGAGUAACACGUGGGUGACCUGCCCUUAGCUCUGGGAUAAGCCUGGGAAACUGGGUCUAAUACCGGAUAUGACUCCAUGACGCAUGUUGUGGGGUGGAAAGCCUUGUGCGGCUAGGGAUGGGCCCGCGGCCUAUCAGCUUGUUGGUGGGGUGAUGGCCUACCAAGGCGACGACGGGUAGCCGGCCUGAGAGGGCGACCGGCCACACUGGGACUGAGACACGGCCCAGACUCCUACGGGAGGCAGCAGUGGGGAAUCUUGCGCAAUGGGCGAAAGCCUGACGCAGCGACGCCGCGUGGGGAUGACGACCU